UACAUGCAAGUCGAACGAACUCUGGUAUUGAUUGGUGCUUGCAUCAUGAUUUACAUUUGAGUGAGUGGCGAACUGGUGAGUAACACGUGGGAAACCUGCCCAGAAGCGGGGGAUAACACCUGGAAACAGAUGCUAAUACCGCAUAACAACUUGGACCGCAGGGUCCGAGUUUGAAAGAUGGCUUCGGCUAUCACUUUUGGAUGGUCCCGCGGCGUAUUAGCUAGAUGGUGGGGUAACGGCUCACCAUGGCAAUGAUACGUAGCCGACCUGAGAGGGUAAUCGGCCACAUUGGGACUGAGACACGGCCCAAACUCCUACGGGAGGCAGCAGUAGGGAAUCUUCCACAAUGGACGAAAGUCUGAUGGAGCAACGCCGCGUGAGUGAAGAAGGGUUUCGGCUCGUAAAACUCUGUUGUUAAAGAAGAACAUAUCUGAGAGUAACUGUUCAGGUAUUGACGGUAUUUAACCAGAAAGCCACGGCUAACUACGUGCCAGCAGCCGCGGUAAUACGUAGGUGGCAAGCGUUGUCCGGAUUUAUUGGGCGUAAAGCGAGCGCAGGCGGUUUUUUAAGUCUGAUGUGAAAGCCUUCGGCUCAACCGAAGAAGUGCAUCGGAAACUGGGAAACUUGAGUGCAGAAGAGGACAGUGGAACUCCAUGUGUAGCGGUGAAAUGCGUAGAUAUAUGGAAGAACACCAGUGGCGAAGGCGGCUGUCUGGUCUGUAACUGACGCUGAGGCUCGAAAGUAUGGGUAGCAAACAGGAUUAGAUACCCUGGUAGUCCAUACCGUAAACGAUGAAUGCUAAGUGUUGGAGGGUUCCGCCCUUCAGUGCUGCAGCUAACGCAUUAAGCAUUCCGCCUGGGGAGUACGGCCGCAAGGCUGAAACUCAAAGGAAUUGACGGGGGCCCGCACAAGCGGUGGAGCAUGUGGUUUAAUUCGAAGCUACGCGAAGAACCUUACCAGGUCUUGACAUACUAUGCAAAUCUAAGAGAUUAGACGUUCCCUUCGGGGACAUGGAUACAGGUGGUGCAUGGUUGUCGUCAGCUCGUGUCGUGAGAUGUUGGGUUAAGUCCCGCAACGAGCGCAACCCUUAUUAUCAGUUGCCAGCAUUAAGUUGGGCACUCUGGUGAGACUGCCGGUGACAAACCGGAGGAAGGUGGGGAUGACGUCAAAUCAUCAUGCCCCUUAUGACCUGGGCUACACACGUGCUACAAUGGAUGGUACAACGAGUUGCGAACUCGCGAGAGUAAGCUAAUCUCUUAAAGCCAUUCUCAGUUCGGAUUGUAGGCUGCAACUCGCCUACAUGAAGUCGGAAUCGCUAGUAAUCGCGGAUCAGCAUGCCGCGGUGAAUACGUUCCCGGGCCUUGUACACACCGCCCGUCACACCAUGAGAGUUUGUAACACCCAAAGUCGGUGGGGUAACCU
rnacentral:rRNA from 1 species